GAUGAACGCUGGCGGCGUGCCUAAUACAUGCAAGUCGAGCGAACGGACGAGAAGCUUGCUUCUCUGAUGUUAGCGGCGGACGGGUGAGUAACACGUGGAUAACCUACCUAUAAGACUGGGAUAACUUCGGGAAACCGGAGCUAAUACCGGAUAAUAUUUUGAACCGCAUGGUUCAAAAGUGAAAGACGGUCUUGCUGUCACUUAUAGAUGGAUCCGCGCUGCAUUAGCUAGUUGGUAAGGUAACGGCUUACCAAGGCAACGAUGUAUAGCCGACCUGAGAGGGUGAUCGGCCACACUGGAACUGAGACACGGUCCAGACUCCUACGGGAGGCAGCAGUAGGGAAUCGUCCGCGAUGGGCGAAAGCCUGACGGAGCAACGCCGCGUGAGUGAUGAAGGUCUUCGGAUCGUAAAACUCUGUUAUUAGGGAAGAACAUAUGUGUAAGUAACUGUGCACAUCUUGACGGUACCUAAUCAGAAAGCCACGGCUAACUACGUG
rnacentral:rRNA from 1 species